rnacentral:rRNA from 1 species
CUCAGAUCAUGUAAGAUUUUAAUGAUCGAACAGAUCAAAAUUUUAAACUUUUGCAUUUAAAUUUUAUCUUAAUCCAACAUCGAGGUCGCAAACUUUUUUUUUUAUUUGAGCUAAAAAAAAAUAUUACGCUGUUAUCCCUAAGGUAAUUUUUUCUUAUAAUCAUUAUUAAUGGAUCAUUUAAUCAUUUAUUUAUGUUUAAUUUUUAAAAAAAGUUAAUUUAAUUUUUCUAUCACCCCAAUAUAAUAAUUAAUUUUAUUUCAAUAAAAAUUUUUAUAUAAUUUUAAAAUAAAAAUAAAUAUAAAACUCUAUAGGGUCUUCUCGUCUUUUAAAAUUAAUUUAGCUUUUUAACUAAAAAAUAAACUUCUAAAAAUAAAUAAGAGACAGUUUAUAUUUCAUCAAAUCUUUCAUACAAGUUUUCAAUUAAAAAACUAGUGAUUAUGCUACCUUUGUACAGUCAUUAUACUGCAGCCCUUUAAUUAUUAUCAGUGGGCAGAUUAGACCUUAAAUUAUAUUCAAAAAGACAUGUUUUUG